rnacentral:rRNA from 1 species
UACGGGGGGGGCAAGCGUUGUUCGGAAUUACUGGGCGUAAAGGGCUCGUAGGCGGCCAACUAAGUCGGAUGUGAAAUCCCCAAGCUUAACUUGGGAACUGCAUCCGAUACUGGAUGGCUUGAAUCCGGGAGAGGGAUGCAGAAUUCCAGGUGUAGCGGUGAAAUGCGUAGAUAUCAGGAGGAACACCUGUGGUGUAGACGGCUUUCUGGACCAUAGCUGACGCUGAGACACGAAAGCGUGGGUAGCAAACAGG